UGGGGAAUAUUGCACAAUGGCCGGAAGUUUGAUGCAGCGACGCCGCGUGGAGUGUGUAGGCCUUCGGGUUGUGAACUCCUUUUUCUCGCGAAAAAGUCACAGUUUUGGCUGUGUUGAUGGUAGUGGGGGAAGAAGCGCCGGCUAACUACGUGCCAGCAGCCGCGGCAAUACGUAUGGCGCGAGCGUUGUCCGGAUUUAUUGGGCGUAAAGAGCUCGUAGGUGGUUCGUCGCGUCUGUCGUGAAAGCCAGCAGCUUAACUGUUGGUCUGCGGUGGGUACGGGCGGGCUUGAGUGCGGUAGGGGUGACUGGAAUUCCUGGUGUAGCGGUGGAAUGCGCAGAUAACAGGAGGAACACCGAUGGCGAAGGCAGGUCACUGGGCCGUUACUGACACUGAGGAGCGAAAGCGUGGGGAGCGAACAGG
rnacentral:rRNA from 1 species